rnacentral:rRNA from 1 species
GAUGAACGCUAGCGACAGGCUUAACACAUGCAAGUCGAGGGGCAGCGGGGGUAGCAAUACCCGCCGGCGACCGGCGCACGGGUGAGUAACGCGUAUGCAACUUACCUAUCAGGAGGGGGAUAACCCGGCGAAAGUCGGACUAAUACCGCAUGAAGCAGGGAUCCCGCAUGGGAAUAUUUGCUAAAGAUUCAUCGCUGAUAGAUAGGCAUGCGUUCCAUUAGGCAGUUGGCGGGGUAACGGCCCACCAACCGACGAUGGAUAGGGGUUCUGAGAGGAACGGUCCCCCCACAUUGGGUACUGAGACACGGGACCAAACUCCUACGGGAGGCGGCAGUGAGGAAU